GACGAACGCUGGCGGCGUGCUUAACACAUGCAAGUCGAACGGUAAGGCCCUUCGGGGUACACGAGUGGCGAACGGGUGAGUAACACGUGGGUGAUCUGCCCUGCACUUCGGGAUAAGCCUGGGAAACUGGGUCUAAUACCGGAUAGGACCACUGCCUGCAUGGGUGGUGGUGGAAAGCUUUUGCGGUGUGGGAUGGGCCCGCGGCCUAUCAGCUUGUUGGUGGGGUGAUGGCCUACCAAGGCGACGACGGGUAGCCGGCCUGAGAGGGUGACCGGCCACACUGGGACUGAGAUACGGCCCAGACUCCUACGAGAGGCAGCAGUGGGGAAUAUAGCACAAUGGGCGCAAGCCUGAUGCAGCGACGCCGCGUGAGGGAUGACGGCCUUCGGGUUGUAAACCUCUUUCAGCACCGACGAAGCGCAAGUGACGGUAGGUGCAGAAGAAGGACCGGCCAACUACGUGCCAGCCGCCGCGGUAA
rnacentral:rRNA from 1 species